UGCCAACAUAUAGGGCCCAAGGAACC
rnacentral:piRNA from 1 species